UACGUAGGGUGCGAGCGUUAAUCGGAAUUACUGGGCGUAAAGCGUGCGCAGGCGGUUCGCCAAGUCAGGUGUGAAAUCCCCGGGCUCAACCUGGGAACUGCAUUCGAUACUGCUGCGCUAGAGUACUGGAGAGGAGAUUGGAAUUUACGGUGUAGCAGUGAAAUGCGUAGAUAUCAGGAGGAACACCGAUAGCGAAGGCAGCUCGCUGGGACGGUACUGACGCUGAGGCGCGAAAGCGUGGGGAGCAAACAGG
rnacentral:rRNA from 1 species